rnacentral:rRNA from 1 species
GACGAACGCUGGCGGCGUGCUUAACACAUGCAAGUCGAACGGAAAGGCCCUGCUUUUGUGGGGUGCUCGAGUGGCGCACGGGUGAGUAACACAUGAGUAACCUGCCCUUGACUUUGGGAUAACUUCAGGAAACUGGGGCUAAUACCGGAUAGGAGCUCCUGCUGCAUGGUGGGGGUUGGAAAGUUUCGGCGGUUGGGGAUGGACUCGCGGCUUAUCAGCUUGUUGGUGGGGUAGUGGCUUACCAAGGCUUUGACGGGUAGCCGGCCUGAGAGGGUGACCGGCCACAUUGGGACUGAGAUACGGCCCAGACUCCUACGGGAGGCAGCAGUGGGGAAUAUUGCACAAUGGGCGGAAGCCUGAUGCAGCAACGCCGCGUGCGGGAUGACGGCCUUCGGGUUGUAAACCGCUUUCGCCUGUGACGAAGCGUGAGUGACGGUAAUGGGUAAAGAAGCACCGGCUAACUACGUG